GAUGAACGCUGGCGGCGUGCCUAAUACAUGCAAGUCGAGCGAACAGAUGAGGAGCUUGCUCCUCUGACGUUAGCGGCGGACGGGUGAGUAACACGUGGAUAACCUACCUAUAAGACUGGGAUAACUUCGGGAAACCGGAGCUAAUACCGGAUAAUAUAUUGAACCGCAUGGUUCAAUAGUGAAAGACGGUUUUGCUGUCACUUAUAGAUGGAUCCGCGCCGCAUUAGCUAGUUGGUAAGGUAACGGCUUACCAAGGCAACGAUGCGUAGCCGACCUGAGAGGGUGAUCGGCCACACUGGAACUGAGACACGGUCCAGACUCCUACGGGAGGCAGCAGUAGGGAAUCUUCCGCAAUGGGCGAAAGCUUGACGGAGCAACGCCGCGUGAGUGAUGAAGGUCUUCGGAUCGUAAAACUCUGUUAUUAGGGAAGAACAAAUGUGUAAGUAACUAUGCACGUCUAGACGGUACCUAAUCAGAAAGCCACGGCUAACUACGUG
rnacentral:rRNA from 1 species